GGGUCCCUGGCGCAAUGGUUAGCGCAUUCGGCUUCGAUCGCCACUCUAUCCCUGUGGAUAGGAGUUACCGAAAGGCUGCAGGUUCGAGUCCUGCGGGGCUCG
rfam:Fistulina hepatica ATCC 64428 unplaced genomic scaffold FISHEscaffold_51, whole genome shotgun sequence.